GACGAACGCUGGCGGCGUGCCUAAUACAUGCAAGUCGAACGCAGUUGCGAACGGGUGAGUAACGCGUAGGUAACUGCCUCAUAGCGCGGGAUAACUAUUGGAAACGCUAGCUAAUACCGCAUACUGUGAGAUGGACCUGCGUUGGAUUAGCUAGUUGGUGAGGUAAAGGCUCACCAAGGCGACGAUAAAGAGCCGACCUGAGAGGGGGGGCGGCCACAAUUGGACCGAGAACAGGGCCAGACCACCAAGGGAGGGCGCCGGAGGGAAUCUUAGGCAAAUGACGGAAGCCCGACCGAGCAACGCGGCGGGAGUGAAGGAGGUUUUCGGAUCGUAAAGCUCUGUUUUGAGAGAAGCGGUAACUAGCCAAAAAGGGACGGCUAACUACGUGCCAGCAGCCGCGGUAAUUC
rnacentral:rRNA from 1 species